rnacentral:misc_RNA from 1 species
GCUUCUCCUCCAUUCAGCCCUUGAGCUUGACAUUUCUCAGUUAAGGAAGCCACCUCAGAUUUAAGAACUGCAUUCUCCUUGAGUAUUGAGUCAUAGCUAGACAGAAGCGAAUCAUAUGAAGCUUUAAGAACAUCAUAGUCCCUUUCGAGCUGCUUCGUCUUCCAUCGAGCACGACGAUUUUGGAACCACACAGCGACCUGCCUCGGUUGCAGCCCUAGCUUCUUGGCCAGUUGGGACUUCCUCUCUGGCUCCAGUUUGUUCUCUUCCUCAAAAUUCUUCUCCAGCAUUUGAACCUGGUCAUGGGUGAGACGACGCUUCUUCUCAGGGUAGAACUCGUCGUAAUAUUCAUCGUCGUAAAGAUCGUUAGGUGAUCU